GAAGAGGGAAGAGCCCAGCACCGAAGUUUGCGGCAUUUUUGCUGUUAAACAAUGUGGUGUGAGGGUCGGCUCGCGGAAUCGUCACUCCACUCGAAGUCCAGCAUUGAGUAUGGUUAUCACUGGAUUUGGCCCAUAGAGGGUGAGAGGCCCGUACGGGUGGAGGUUCAGACAUGUGCGACGAUUCACCAGGCCGGCCUCAGAGUCGGGUUGUUUGAGAUUGCAGCCCAAAGAGGGUGGUAAACUCCAUCCAAGGCUAAAUACUAACACGAGUCCGAUAGCGAACAAGUACCGUGAGGGAAAGUUGAAAAGUACUCUGAAGAGAGAGUAAACAGUACGUGAAGCCGCAUGCAGGUAAACGGAUGGCGUCAAGCUGCGAGCCCAGAGGAUUCAGCUGGCUAGGGUGUAGUGUACGCACGCCUGGUGCGUCGAGAGGCCAGAAUAAGAUGUAUGAUAAGUGGUUCACUCCUCUGCUGGGAGUGAGGUCCGGUCAGUGUGCGUUCGCGUAUGCUGAUUGUGGCUAUGUAUGCCGGAUGGGUGCCGGAGCAUACCACUCAUCUGUUGGGCCAUCUAGCCAGUGCAUUUUCUCUGUGGUGAACACCACGACCGGUGGUACUGCCAGUCUGCUGUGAUCAAGUCGUGUUCUCCUGAUGCUUCAUUGUGUUGGGUGGGCACGAUCGCAGGCAGAGUCGGUGAACGGCGCAGUGGUACUUCGGUACUGCCGUGUGUUAUCGUGCACUCUCUGUCGUAAACGAUUGUUGGGGUAGAACUGUGACAUGCUGCCUCAUCAGUUGGCGGAUCACAGUGGUGAAAGUGACUGUGCAGGGCACCGGAGUUAUCCACCUCAUUCAAUUAUGGUAUUCGGCACGCACGUUACAGGUGCUAUUAAAAUCGGGGUGCGCCGCUGUCUGUCUUGUAUUGGAUCUGACUGUCGUGUUGCCUGCGCAAAGUGGGUCCGGCAGUGGUUACGAUGCUUGACAGUCGCAGUGAGUUGCGUGCUUCGGGUGUCUGUGAUACCGGGGGUGAAAUAGUCAGUGGUGCUGUGGUAGACUAGCUAUCCGACCCGUCUUGAAACACGGACCAAGGAGUUUAACAUGUAUGCGAGUCAAAGGGUCCUACGAAACCCCGAGGCGCAGUGAAAGUGAAGUUCAUGCUGCAUCUCUACACAUGUGCGGUGCAGUGUGGCGAGGUGAGAUCCUGUUGUACUCAUGACACACGCCGCAGACCUUACUGGGCAUUACCGGGGCAACAGGCGCAUCACCGGCCCGUCCCAUGAUGUGGUCAUAGGUGUACUUGUGCGUGGAGUGGCAACACAAAGCGUACAAAGCCUGUGCGUCAUCGGGGCGGAGCAUGAGCAUACAUGUUGAGACCCGAAAGAUGGUGAACUAUGCUUGCGUAGGUUGAAG
rnacentral:rRNA from 1 species